CGCGUGGGUAACCUGCCUUGUACUGGGGGACAACAGUUGGAAACGACUGCUAAUACCGCAUAAGCGCACAGCUUCGCAUGAAGCAGUGUGAAAAACUCCGGUGGUACAAGAUGGACCCGCGUCUGAUUAGCUGGUUGGUGAGGUAACGGCCCACCAAGGCAACGAUCAGUAGCCGGCCUGAGAGGGUGAACGGCCACAUUGGGACUGAGACACGGCCCAAACUCCUACGGGAGGCAGCAGUGGGGAAUAUUGCACAAUGGGGGAAACCCUGAUGCAGCAACGCCGCGUGAGUGAAGAAGUAUUUCGGUAUGUAAAGCUCUAUCAGCAGGAAAGAAAAUGACGGUACCUGACUAAGAAGCCCCGGCUAACUACGUGCCAGCAGCCGCGGUAAUACGUAGGGGGCAAGCGUUAUCCGGAUUUACUGGGUGUAAAGGGAGCGUAGACGGUUUUGCAAGUCUGAAGUGAAAGCCCGGGGCUUAACCCCGGGACUGCUUUGGAAACUGUAGGACUAGAGUGCAGGAGAGGUAAGUGGAAUUCCUAGUGUAGCGGUGAAAUGCGUAGAUAUUAGGAGGAACACCAGUGGCGAAGGCGGCUUACUGGACUGUAACUGACGUUGAGGCUCGAAAGCGUGGGGAGCAAACAGGAUUAGAUACCCUGGUAGUCCACGCCGUAAACGAUGAUUA
rnacentral:rRNA from 1 species